rnacentral:lncRNA from 12 species
CAGGAUUCCAUGCCCCUGCUUUGUACAAGGUGUAUUUCUCCAAAUCUGGAUGUUUUUAAGUGUUUUCUUCAUUGGUGGCAGUGUGUGGUUAUUGGCAUCAAGAAAACAGAUUGGUCAGAUGACAUCCAUGGUGUCUGUCAACUUUGAAUUCCUAAAAUCAUUGAGCAUUUCAAAGAAGGUGAUUGCAGUGUCUCUUAUAAGAGGAGGGGAGAGUCCUCACAACUACCUGAGAAUUCUAAUCUUACACAUCAACCUCUGCCAAAGGGAGGAGCGGUUUGGCCAUCACAGCUACAUGAGAGGAUUUGGUGAUGCUACAUGAACUGGCCUCUGGUGGCAUCGCAAGGAGAGCAAAUCUGGGCAAUUCUGUGACUGUUUUGUUGUUCAUCUGAUAGCUCUAUAUGCCUUCUGAAAAAUUAAAUGUUGAUAAUCGUGGAAAAUAUAGCUUCCAAAUAAGUAAUUCAAAUCACUCACUGAGAAUCUCACAUAAUUCUUUGUUUUGUAAGUCAUUCAUAUAGAAUGUGCCACAUACUGGAACCCAGAGACGUCCUCCAACAAUGUAAAAUGACAAUCUGCUAUGCAACCCCCAUUUUUAAAAAAAAUAAAGGCAUAGCUUCCUUCCA